UCAGUGGAAGUGUCUCACCUAGGGAUGCCUACAAGCAUCUUUGCCCCCACUGCUGGGCCAGUGGGCACACCCACUCCCCCAAAGACACACGGAAGAUUUCCCCGUGGAAAGCAAACUCCAGAUCACGGAGCAGUGCUGAGUGAGCAUGCCCACUGGAAAGAUCCUUUCCUUUCAAAUGGUCCCCCUGGCCCUGAGACCCUGACUCCAUUUCUCUAAGGGGGUGGCUGGCCCCAGAUGGAUGGGCUCCUCUGGGUCUUCUCUGAGGCCAAGGGCCCUGGGGGUAGCUGUUCCCUGCCAUGCAGGCUACACACUUCUCUUUCCACAGAGCGAGAUAAGAUCUACCGCCCCAUCUCGGAAAGCCUCCAAAGGCAGAUUAAUUGGACAGCCCAACACGAGUCGCAUCGUUAAAACAACAGCCUGGGUUGUAAAGUUAAGUAGCAGUACUGUAAUUGCUCUCUCGGUCAGCGACCAGCUGAGCCUGCGGCACCCCCCCCCCCCUUCUCUUACCCCCGUGUGCCCUUUCCAGGGAAAAUGAGCCUCUUUUCCAUUUGGGAGCUGGUCCACUUGCCUCGGACUUCUAGGUGGUGGUGCAUCUGCCUCACCUCCACCUCUCCAGCCACCAGGGUUACUUACUGAAGGGAACCCCGUGGCUUCUUCCCAGGAUGAAGCUCCUUUGGGGGACACUGGAUCAACCAAGGAACGGGAAGACGGAAGGCAGCCUUUGGUCUCCAAGGAGUCCCAGCUUGCUUUGUGACUUUGGGUGAGUUUCUUAACCUCUCUGUGCUUUAUUUCUUAUCCCCUCAGACAAGAACGGUAAUAGGAUAGAUAGGCUUUGCCGUGUGGCUCCGAUGAUGAAAUGACAUGGUGCCCGGAACACAGUGCACACUUUAUAGAUGACAUUCACGGCUGCUGCUGCGAUGGCAGGAGGGGACAGCCCACUCUGAGGGUGAGUUCCUAGAGCCAUCUAUUUACCUCUUGCUUAAGUAGACAGCCCUGCCUUCCCAGGGUAGGGAGGCAGGAUGGGGUUGGACAUACACCCCAGCACCUCUCAGCCACCACUGUCGGAAGGACUCAGGCAAGGUCCCCCACUCAGAAUGGGCCGCGGCUUGCCCAUCUAACAUCAGCAGAACGGGCAGUGCGUCCGGGGUAUGCUCUGUCACUUCCACGGUCUCAGCCCCAGGAAAGUGGCCUCCUUCUGGGUAGCUCACCCCCUCCCCCGACUCCCCUGUACUAUUUUAAGGUAUGGCCCCCUGUUCUCUCCCCAGACCAAAUGAGAUUCAAUUAAUUCAAUUAAAGCAAUUUUGGAAGCAGCUCCUGAAGGCUUUGGAUGUGAGAUAAUUACCAGUAAUUUGCUUCUGUGAAGAGGAAAAGGUUACGCAGGGUCUAGAGUGGAGAAAGAGGUAGCCCCCUCCUCACCAAAUGCACCCAGAUCGAGAAGGAUUCCACACAGCAAUCUUAGCUGCCCUCUCCCAUUGGCCAAAUUGCUUGCAGCCCUUUCUGGUUCUGCCCGGUGUCCCAUCAAAAUCCCUUCCACUUUCUCGUUGGCAAAUCUACUGUCCGCUUUCUGGCCCCGGGGCCACUAGUUUCUUCCUCCCCCCAACGCAUAUUACAGGAGUCGGUCUGUCGGCCCUUUGUUUCUCCCAGGGCACUCAGUGCACCCCUUCUCCAGCUGCCGGGCUGCUGGAGGUGGGGCCUGGGAGGAAUUCCCUCAGUGAGCCAGCCCUUGAUGGCCACUGCCUCUUCAUGGUGGGCCAGCUCGGUGGGCGAGGGAAGCCUGAGUCUCUACCACCUCAUGCCUCUGCCUCCCACGUCUGCCACCACCACCACCGUGCUCAGAUCCAGAACAAAUGGAGGAAUACAAACACCUCCUCAUUCCAGAGUUCAUGUCAACAGGCCAGCCUCAGGACCCUAGCACAGAGGUAACUUGAAAGUGGAGACAAGAUCUGUAUAGUUCAAGGUCAUCCUCGGCUACAUAAAGUUCAAAGCCAGCCUGGGCUACAUGACACCCUGUCAAGGAAUAAGUAGGGAGGGGAGGGGGGUUUGCGGGGGAGUAUGGAGAAAAAGAAAACUAAGAACGAGCCUGGUGUGAUAGCAUCUGCCUUUAAUUCCAGCAUUCUGGAGUCCCAGGCCUGCCAGAGCUACACAGGGCACCCUUCUCAAAAAUAAAUAAUAA